ACGGGUGAGUAACACGUGAGUAACCUGCCCCUUACUUUUCUGGAUAACUGCUCGAAAGGGUAGCUAAUACGGGAUAUUCUGGCCUUCUCGCAUGGGUUGGUUUGGAAAGGUUAUUUUUUUCUGGUAAGGGAUGGGCUCGCGGCCUAUCAGCUUGUUGGUGGGGUGAUGGCCUACCAAGGCUUUGACGGGUAGCCGGCCUGAGAGGGUGGACGGUCACACUGGGACUGAGAUACGGCCCAGACUCCUACGGGAGGCAGCAGUGGGGAAUAUUGCACAAUGGGCGCAAGCCUGAUGCAGCGACGCCGCGUGAGGGAUGAAGGCCUUCGGGUUGUAAACCUCUUUCGUCAGGGAACAAGGCAUCACUUUUGGUGGUGUUGAGGGUACCUGGAUAAAAAAGCGCCGGCUAACUACGUGCCAGCAGCCGCGGGUAAAUACGUAGGGCGCAAGCGUUGUCCGGGAUUAUUGGGCGUAAAGAGCUUCGUAGGGCGGCUGGGUCACGUCUGUCCUGAAAACUUCCCGGCUUCAACCCGGGGGCUUGAGGUGGGUAAGGGCCCGCCUAUAUGCCAGUUAGGGUGUAACAGAUACUUCACUGGAUAAACGGAUGAAUGCCUGGAAUACAGGUAGAAACACCCUUGGAGACUCCGAGUUUAAUGAGGCUUUUUAGACGAUGGAGGUUGAACCCCUUGGCCCAUCCAACUUGAUCUAUAACCUGGAUCCUUUACCGGCCGUUAGAG
rnacentral:rRNA from 1 species